rnacentral:lncRNA from 1 species
GCGGCUCUCAUGCUCGGGUGGUCGUCAAACAGUUGCCACGACCGCCGGUUCAAGAUGUUCGACUUGGACAUCAGUUUCGUCUCGUCUGGAAAUUCCAACACGCAGGUCUUUCAUGAGGUCCUCGCAGCCAUGAAAGGCUUGAUAAGAAUUCACUCACCGGCGAUUAUUAUCAGUGUCGCAGACUUGGUACCCGACGUCCGUGAUGCCAUAGCUUUGGCUGCUUUCCAAGCAAACACCACCGUCUUACAGCUUCCCCGACGCGCCAUCGAACAUGCACUGUGGAUAGCCGACGUGAAAACAUCCGCUCUUCAACGUAAGCUACUUAAGCUUCUCGGGAACUUUCACUGACUUGCUAUACCUACAGAAUGGAACACGAUGAGAAUCUCGAUAAGCAUCAUCACGCAAAACAGACCUCGCUCGCUGAAGCGUCUGCUGGGAGCACUCGCCAGUGCAUACUACGUCGGCGACGAGAUCCAUCUAACUUUCAG